rnacentral:lncRNA from 1 species
AGAAGAGUUUUAAUGAUGUAAUCUUCUAGAAUUCUUAUGGUUUCAGAUCUUAGAUUUAAGUCUUUGAUCCAUCUUGAGUUGAUUUUUGUAUAAGGUGAGAAAUGAGGAUCCAGUUUCAUUCUUCCACAAGUGCUGCCAAUUAUCCUAGCAGCAUUUGUUGAAUAGGGUGUCCUUUCCCUCCUAGCAGCAUUUGUUGAAUAGGGUGUCCUUUCCCUACUCUGUUUUUCUUUGCUUUGCUGAAGAUCAGUUGGCUAUGUCAGCCAUGAUGUCAUCAUGGAUGCAGGCAAUGAUGUGAUGGGAAGCAGAGAGCCUCUCUAAAGUGGAGAUGGAUGAAACUGACUGAUUCAGCUGGAUAAGUUUAAUGCAUCGGCCUUGAUAACUUUCAUACUAAAGAACUUAAAUUGACCACAGUCUUUGCUGAGUCACACACAAUUAUCUUCAAGAACUCACAGAGGACUUAAAUGACAUAAACUAGAAUAUAUUAUGUCUGUUCUUUCAGAAGAAGAUUAUGGGCCAUCCAGGACAUUACUGACUUACCAAAGUGGAGAAAUAGCACUUUGUCAGGAAUAUUGAGUGACAUAGAUGAGCACAUUAAUGGAGAGGGAGAGGUAACACGAGAAACGGCAGCCUCCAAGGUCUUCCAUCACUCUGCAAAUUCUUACCACACAUGGCUCUGCGUAUCCCCUGACCUGACUCACUCCUCCCUAAUCUCUAAAUUCCUCCACUGUAUCUACUGGAUAUCAUAAUCUAAAGUCAGCAAAAUCUCCUAUUUUAUCAAGCCCUUUUGUAAACAUUUCUCUCUCUCUCUUUUUUUUUUUUUCACUAACUAGAUUCUCUCUGGGACACUCAAGUGUGGCUUACCCCUCUUUUAUACCAUACUUCACUAGGCCUGGAGUUAUUCUGGUAAGCAGAAUAACUCCUCCCCUUGUCCCCAAAGAUGUCCACAUUUAAACCUUAGAAUCUGUGAAUAUGUCCCCUUACAUGGCAAAAUGGACUUUGUAGAUGUGAUUAAGUUAAGGAACUUGAAAUGGGAAGAUUAUUUUGAGUUACCUAGGUAAGUCCAUUAUAAUCAUUUUGGAUUCUUAUAAGAGGGAGGCAGAAGUGUUGGAGUCAGGGAGAGAUUUGAAGAUGCUAACUGCUAGCUUUGAAGAUGGAAGAGGUCAGGAGCCAAGAAAUGCAAGCAGCCUCUACGAAGCUGGAAAAUGCGAGGAAACAGAUUUUUUUCCCUGAAGCCUCCAGAAGGAAUGCAGCCCUGCUGACACCUUGAUUUUGGCCGGUGAAAAAUGCUGCAGACUUUUGACCUUGAGAACUGUAAAAUAAUAAAUAUAUGUUGCUUUAAGACACUAAAUUUAUGGUAAUCUGUUACAGCAACAAUAAGAAACCAACACAGAUGUCUUUCUUGCUUAUCUUUGUUAUUUCCAGACCAUACUCCUCAACCCUCUUAAAGACCCCUAGCUCCUUUGAGGUAUGUGCCAUCAGGCUAAACCAUCUGCCACUCCUCCUUAUUGCUGUCAUCUGCCAACCCUCUCAUUAUUCCAUUACAUUCAUUAAAAGUAUCUGAUCUCUUCUCACUGUCUUUCCACCAUAUUUGUAUCAUCCUUUAUGCUGACAUCUGCAUCAGGAUACACAUGAUGCAUCUGAUACACCUUCCACUUGGACAUUGCAAUUUCUUAACCUGCUUACAUUCAAAGAUCUUUUCUUCUGCCUCCUCCAUCUCCAAUCUUAGAGUCAUACUAUAAAUCUUUUCAGAAAUAAUGACAGAAGUACUUCCAGAUUCUCAAUUUAAG